rnacentral:rRNA from 1 species
UGUAAGCGUAUACCAAAGUUGUUGCAGUUAAAACGCUCGUAGUCGGAAUUUAGCAGUUCCGGAUGUGUGCACGUCGUGUGCGCACUUCGCGGGGAUUGCUUUUGUGGUCUUGCGUAGGAUGAGGCACUUUUAUUAGUGAACGUCCUCACGCAACCACUUUUUACUGUGAGAAAAUCAGAGUGCUCAAAGCAGGCAUUUGCCGUGAAUGUAUUAGCAUGGAAUAAUAGAAUAGGACUUGGUUCUAUUUUGUUGGUUUGUUGGGACUGAGUAAUGAUUAAGAGGGACAGUUGGGGGCAUUUGUAUUUCGGUGCUAGAGGUGAAAUUCUUAGAUUACCGAAAGACAAACUGCUGCGAAAGCGUCUGCCAAGGAUGUUUUCAUUGA